UUUUAAAACGUAUAUAGUACAAUGUAUACGUAAAUAGUAUAUUCACAAAAUAGAAUAGUAUCUCUCAAAAAUCUUCCAAAAUCAAAAUCGAUUUAUUGGCUUUUUUCCCUUUAGAAUUUCCAACAUCGUAAACCCUUUAUCGCUUCUAGAUCUAAGAAAUCCAUAACAUGAUCGUCAAUUUGCUGUUCAUAAUUCUCAAUUUUAUUUUCCAUGGUUUUACAAAUUAAAAUUCUCAUAUGAACUUUGAUGGGAAAGUGAAGAUUAAUUUGACAUAAUUGGCGAAAGGAUUUCCCCGGAUUUUUCUAGUAUUCUCUGGCUGACGAAGGAUAAAUAUAGUCAGAGUAUUAUUGCGCUAAUGGUGUUGUUAUAAAAUAGAGUAAAUCAGAUUUGAGUGAUCCUAUCGACAUUUAAGAUUGAUCCAUAUAUAAUUUUGACUUUUGUUCAGUUGAUGGUGAUGUAUGUAAAGAUUCGUAAGAAAAGGGAGAGAGAGAUGAAAGGAGCACACUUCAUAAAAGAGAAGAAGAUUUAUUCACUAGGAUGUCUUUUGAAGAAGAAAGAAGAAGGAGAGCGAGAUGUACAAACACAGUAAGAAAAGGGAGAGAGAUAUGAAAUGAGCACACUUGAUAAAAGAGAAGAAGAUUUAUUCAAUAGGAUAUUUUUUGAAGAAGAAAGAAGAAGGAGAGCGUGAUGUACAAACAGAGUAUAGUAUUGUCAAUAUUACAUAUAUUAUACAUAAUAUCUCUUUCUAUUGUUUGAAGUGUUAGUUUACCAAUUAAAGUAUUUUUGUUGGUUAUAUUUGCCAAUUUUCCUUUUUUCAAUUCA
rnacentral:sRNA from 1 species